rnacentral:rRNA from 16 species
AGAGUUUGAUCAUGGCUCAGAUUGAACGCUGGCGGCAGGCCUAACACAUGCAAGUCGAACGGUAACAGGAAGCAGCUUGCUGCUUUGCUGACGAGUGGCGGACGGGUGAGUAAUGUCUGGGAAACUGCCCGAUGGAGGGGGAUAACUACUGGAAACGGUAGCUAAUACCGCAUAACGUCGCAAGACCAAAGAGGGGGACCUUAGGGCCUCUUGCCAUCGGAUGUGCCCAGAUGGGAUUAGCUAGUAGGUGGGGUAAUGGCUCACCUAGGCGACGAUCCCUAGCUGGUCUGAGAGGAUGACCAGCCACACUGGAACUGAGACACGGUCCAGACUCCUACGGGAGGCAGCAGUGGGGAAUAUUGCACAAUGGGCGCAAGCCUGAUGCAGCCAUGCCGCGUGUAUGAAGAAGGCCUUCGGGUUGUAAAGUACUUUCAGCGGGGAGGAAGGGAGUAAAGUUAAUACCUUUGCUCAUUGACGUUACCCGCAGAAGAAGCACCGGCUAACUCCGUGCCAGCAGCCGCGGUAAUACGGAGGGUGCAAGCGUUAAUCGGAAUUACUGGGCGUAAAGCGCACGCAGGCGGUUUGUUAAGUCAGAUGUGAAAUCCCCGGGCUCAACCUGGGAACUGCAUCUGAUACUGGCAAGCUUGAGUCUCGUAGAGGGGGGUAGAAUUCCAGGUGUAGCGGUGAAAUGCGUAGAGAUCUGGAGGAAUACCGGUGGCGAAGGCGGCCCCCUGGACGAAGACUGACGCUCAGGUGCGAAAGCGUGGGGAGCAAACAGGAUUAGAUACCCUGGUAGUCCACGCCGUAAACGAUGUCGACUUGGAGGUUGUGCCCUUGAGGCGUGGCUUCCGGAGCUAACGCGUUAAGUCGACCGCCUGGGGAGUACGGCCGCAAGGUUAAAACUCAAAUGAAUUGACGGGGGCCCGCACAAGCGGUGGAGCAUGUGGUUUAAUUCGAUGCAACGCGAAGAACCUUACCUGGUCUUGACAUCCACGGAAGUUUUCAGAGAUGAGAAUGUGCCUUCGGGAACCGUGAGACAGGUGCUGCAUGGCUGUCGUCAGCUCGUGUUGUGAAAUGUUGGGUUAAGUCCCGCAACGAGCGCAACCCUUAUCCUUUGUUGCCAGCGGUCCGGCCGGGAACUCAAAGGAGACUGCCAGUGAUAAACUGGAGGAAGGUGGGGAUGACGUCAAGUCAUCAUGGCCCUUACGACCAGGGCUACACACGUGCUACAAUGGCGCAUACAAAGAGAAGCGACCUCGCGAGAGCAAGCGGACCUCAUAAAGUGCGUCGUAGUCCGGAUUGGAGUCUGCAACUCGACUCCAUGAAGUCGGAAUCGCUAGUAAUCGUGGAUCAGAAUGCCACGGUGAAUACGUUCCCGGGCCUUGUACACACCGCCCGUCACACCAUGGGAGUGGGUUGCAAAAGAAGUAGGUAGCUUAACCUUCGGGAGGGCGCUUACCACUUUGUGAUUCAUGACUGGGGUGAAGUCGUAACAAGGUAACCGUAGGGGAACCUGCGGUUGGAUCACCU